ACAGAUGAGGAAACUGAUGGUCAACAAGAUGCCUGUUUGCCCGGGUUCUGGAAAGUGAUGGAGGCAGCUUCAGACGCAGUUAUGGAAAUUGAGGCUCAGAGCUGUUACGCAAUGUGGAGGGUGAAAGAAGCAAGCCACUCAGAUCCUUCCAGGCACUAGAGGAAGGAAUGAACUGGGAUUCGGAAGAUUCCAGUCUCUCUGCCACUGCCUUGCUGGGUGUUGAGUGGUACCUCUUGUUCCAGAAAGAUUGAGUCCUCACAGAAGAGAUGCUCUCCAUGAGAGAGGAGUGGGCUCUCCUUCCCACACACGCCAUCCACAGCGCUCCCUUGAACUUCAAAGAGAAGCCCCCCCCGCCAGGAAGCUGGACUUGUUCUAAGACGUGGCGAGGAGGUGGCUGUAGGCAAGCCGUAAGCAAAGCCCUCACCGGAGCCUGAUCAGGCCGCCACCCUCAUCUCAGCCCUCCAGCCUCCAGAACGGAGCCACUGCAUCUGAGCAGGAGGGCACAGUACAUCCUGCCACCAGGAGUUAAGCCACCUUCCUCCUGGCCCAGGGAACACAGGCGAGGCAAGAAGAAAACCCACCCGUGGCUCAGUCCUAGGGAACCAAAGGCAGGAGGGGAACUCCAGGCUUCCAGAUGUCGCGUUGGGAACGAUCAGCACGUCUCCCUUGCAGACACGGAUGACCCCUCACGAUGGGUCCUACCAAGAAAGAGAUCAUGUGUUCUUUUGAUCAAGCCAUAUGCAGUGUUGAACUGUCUCACGCAACUGGAGCUCAUCCAUUUGUUUCUAUGCCAUGACCUGUGAGAGUUUCUCCCGGAGCCUGUGCCGAGGACCGAUACAAGGUAGACCAGCACUGGCAUUUCUGCAUUUGUGACCAAAACAGGAUGUACAGAAGCUAAACACACAAGCUCUGGAUUCAGAUUUCCAAUGCCAAAUGUUGGUCUUUGCCACUCACCCCUUGUGCGUUCUUAAACUUAACCUUAACCUUAACCUCUCUGCACCUCAGUGUCCUUACCUGCAAAACAUAAAAUUUUUAUUUACCUUUUAGGCUCAUGGCAAAGUUUAUUCCAUUAAUAUAUGGAAAAGGUUUACAACAGUGUGAAGCAUGACGCAGUGAGCGCUCUAUAAGUGUUAUCCAUUAUUGAUGCUUUCAUCUGGCAAAGUGUUGCGAGGGCAAUUAAGUAAGACAAAGUACAUUACUUGAGGUACAUUGCACUCUUGCUUCUGAACAAAUAUAUUUGUUAUUUUCCCUGGUCAGACCACGUAGCACUUUUGAACGAAUUAUGCACACGCAGAACAUUUUUGAGUACUCCUGGGCACGCUAGGCAAACUCCAUAGAGACAUCUUUCCUCCGCCACCAAGUGCAUUCUCUUCCCAUCUCUAUCCCCAAACUAACACGUACCCCUAGAGCUCUUGUUAAUCACAAGAUGUUGCUCCAUGCUCACCCACCCCAAGCUUGCCGAAUGUUUAAGCUCCUUCUCUCUGUUCACAAGCA